rnacentral:rRNA from 1 species
CUUGCCUACGGGAGGCAGCAAUGGGGAAUAUUGCACAAUGGGGGAAACCCUGAUGCAGCGACGCCGCGUGAGUGAAGAAGUAUUUCGGUAUGUAAAGCUCUAUCAGCAGGGAAGAAGAAAGACGGUACCUGACUAAGAAGCCCCGGCUAACUACGUGCCAGCAGCCGCGGUAAUACGUAGGGGGCAAGCGUUAUCCGGAUUUACUGGGUGUAAAGGGAGCGUAGACGGAGAAGCGAGUCUGAAGUGAAAGCCCGUGGCUUAACCACGGGACUGCUUUGGAAACUGUUUGAC